CCUACGGGGGGCUGCAGUGGGGAAUAUUGGACAAUGGGGGGAACCCUGAUCCAGCCAUGCCGCGUGUGUGAAGAAGGCCCUCGGGUUGUAAAGCACUUUCAGUGAGGAAGAACGCCUGGUGGUUAAUACCCAUCAGGAAAGACAUCACUCACAGAAGAAGCACCGGCUAACUCCGUGCCAGCAGCCGCGGUAAUAUGGAGGGUGCGAGCGUUAAUCGGAAUUACUGGGCGUAAAGCGCGCGUAGGUGGCUUGAUAAGCCGGUUGUGAAAGCCCCGGGCUCAACCUGGGAACGGCAUCCGGAACUGGCAAGCUAGAGUGCAGGAGAGGAAGGUAGAAUUCCCGGUGUAGCGGUGAAAUGCGUAGAGAUCGGGAGGAAUACCAGUGGCGAAGGCGGCCUUCUGGACUGACACUGACACUGAGGUGCGAAAGCGUGGGUAGCAAACAGGAUUAGAUACCCUAGUAGUC
rnacentral:rRNA from 1 species